AUUAUUGGGCGUAAGGGCUCGCAGGCGGUUUCUUAAGUCUGAUGUGAAAGCCCCCGGCUCAACCGGGGAGGGUCAUUGGAAACUGGGAAACUUGAGUGCAGAAGAGGAGAGUGGAAUUCCACGUGUAGCGGUGAAAUGCGUAGAGAUGUGGAGGAACACCAGUGGCGAAGGCGACUCUCUGGUCUGUAACUGACGCUGAGGAGCGAAAGCGUGGGGAGCGAACAGGAUUAGAUACCCUGGUAGUCCACGCCGUAAACGAUGAGUGCUAAGUGUUAGGGGGUUUCCGCCCCUUAGUGCUGCAGCUAACGCAUUAAGCACUCCGCCUGGGGAGUACGGUCGCAAGACUGAAACUCAAAGGAAUUGACGGGGGCCCGCACAAGCGGUGGAGCAUGUGGUUUAAUUCGAAGCAACGCGAAGAACCUUACCAGGUCUUGACAUCCUCUGACAACCCUAGAGAUAGGGCUUUCCCUUCGGGGACAGAGUGACAGGUGGUGCAUGGUUGUCGUCAGCUCGUGUCGUGAGAUGUUGGGUUAAGUCCCGCAACGAGCGCAACCCUUGAUCUUAGUUGCCAGCAUUUAGUUGGGCACUCUAAGGUGACUGCCGGUGACAAACCGGAGGAAAGUGGGGAUGACGUCUAAUCAUCAUGCCCCUUAUGACCUGGGCUACACACGUGCUACAAUGGACAGA
rnacentral:rRNA from 1 species